rnacentral:rRNA from 1 species
GGACAGAUGGGAGCUUGCUCCCUGAUGUUAGCGGCGGACGGGUGAGUAACACGUGGGUAACCUGCCUGUAAGACUGGGAUAACUCCGGGAAACCGGGGCUAAUACCGGAUGGUUGUUUGAACCGCAUGGUUCAAACAUAAAAGGUGGCUUCGGCUACCACUUACAGAUGGACCCGCGGCGCAUUAGCUAGUUGGUGAGGUAACGGCUCACCAAGGCAACGAUGCGUAGCCGACCUGAGAGGGUGAUCGGCCACACUGGGACUGAGACACGGCCCAGACUCCUACGGGAGGCAGCAGUAGGGAAUCUUCCGCAAUGGACGAAAGUCUGACGGAGCAACGCCGCGUGAGUGAUGAAGGUUUUCGGAUCGUAAAGCUCUGUUGUUAGGGAAGAACAAGUACCGUUCGAAUAGGGCGGUACCUUGACGGUACCUAACCAGAAAGCCACGGCUAACUACGUGCCAGCAGCCGCGGUAAUACGUAGGUGGCAAGCGUUGUCCGGAAUUAUUGGGCGUAAAGGGCUCGCAGGCGGUUUCUUAAGUCUGAUGUGAAAGCCCCCGGCUCAACCGGGGAGGGUCAUUGGAAACUGGGGAACUUGAGUGCAGAAGAGGAGAGUGGAAUUCCACGUGUAGCGGUGAAAUGCGUAGAGAUGUGGAGGAACACCAGUGGCGAAGGCGACUCUCUGGUCUGUAACUGACGCUGAGGAGCGAAAGCGUGGGGAGCGAACAGGAUUAGAUACCCUGGUAGUCCACGCCGUAAACGAUGAGUGCUAAGUGUUAGGGGGUUUCCGCCCCUUAGUGCUGCAGCUAACGCAUUAAGCACUCCGCCUGGGGAGUACGGUCGCAAGACUGAAACUCAAAGGAAUUGACGGGGGCCCGCACAACCGGUGGAACAUGUGGUUUAAUUCAAAGCAACGCGAAGAACCUUACCAGGUCUUGACAUCCUCUGACAAUCCUAGAGAUAGGACGUCCCCUUCGGGGGCAGAGUGACAGGUGGUGCAUGGUUGUCGUCAGCUCGUGUCGUGAGAUGUUGGGUUAAGUCCCGCAACGAGCGCAACCCUUGAUCUUAGUUGCCAGCAUUCAGUUGGGCACUCUAAGGUGACUGCCGGUGACAAACCGGAGGAAGGUGGGGAUGACGUCAAAUCAUCAUGCCCCUUAUGACCUGGGCUACACACGUGCUACAAUGGACAGAACAAAGGGCAGCGAAACCGCGAGGUUAAGCCAAUCCCACAAAUCUGUUCUCAGUUCGGAUCGCAGUCUGCAACUCGACUGCGUGAAGCUGGAAUCGCUAGUAAUCGCGGAUCAGCAUGCCGCGGUGAAUACGUUCCCGGGCCUUGUACACACCGCCCGUCACACCACGAGAGUUUGUAACACCCGAAGUCGGUGAGGUAACCUUUUAGGAGCCAGCCGCCGAAGGUGGGACAGAUG